GAAACAUCUAAGUACCCCGAGGAAAAGAAAUCAACCGAGAUUCCCCCAGUAGCGGCGAGCGAACGGGGAGGAGCCCAGAACCUGAAUCGGCUUGUGUGUUAGUGGAAGCGUCUGGAAAGUCGCGCAGUAAAGGGUGAUAGCCCCGUACACCAAAAUGCACAGGUCGUGAGUUCGAUGAGUAGGGCGGGACACGUGACAUCCUGUCUGAAUAUGGGGGGACCAUCCUCCAAGGCUAAAUACUCCUGACUGACCGAUAGUGAACCAGUACCGUGAGGGAA
rnacentral:rRNA from 1 species